rnacentral:rRNA from 1 species
GGUGGAAUGCGCAGAUAUCAGGAGGAACACCGGUGGCGAAGGCGGGUCUCUGGGCAGUAACUGACGCUGAGGAGCGAAAGCGUGGGGAGCGAACAGGAUUAGAUACCCUGGUAGUCCACGCCGUAAACGGUGGGUACUAGGUGUGGGUUUCCUUCCUUGGGAUCCGUGCCGUAGCUAACGCAUUAAGUACCCCGCCUGGGGAGUACGGCCGCAAGGCUAAAACUCAAAGAAAUUGACGGGGGCCCGCACAAGCGGCGGAGCAUGUGGAUUAAUUCGAUGCAACGCGAAGAACCUUACCUGGGUUUGACAUGCACAGGACGCCGGCAGAGAUGUCGGUUCCCUUGUGGCCUGUGUGCAGGUGGUGCAUGGCUGUCGUCAGCUCGUGUCGUGAGAUGUUGGGUUAAGUCCCGCAACGAGCGCAACCCUUGUCUCAUGUUGCCAGCGGGUAAUGCCGGGGACUCGUGAGAGACUGCCGGGGUCAACUCGGAGGAAGGUGGGGAUGACGUCAAGUCAUCAUGCCCCUUAUGUCCAGGGCUUCACACAUGCUACAAUGGCCGGUACAAAGGGCUGCGAUGCCGCGAGGUUAAGCGAAUCCUUUUAAAGCCGGUCUCAGUUCGGAUCGGGGUCUGCAAC